CCUGCAUAUUCUUAACAAGUUCUCUCUGUCACGAGUUAUUUCUCUCGCCCAUGAAAGUUGAGGGACAUUUCGUGGAAAGUAAGGGGGGAGCCUUCCUCAUUAUUGUAGCUCAGAGGAUUGCUAAUGCAGCUGGUCAUUCUACGAAUUGGUUCCCUCAAUCACACGGCAUUCAAAUAGCCAAGUUGAAUCCCAUGGUCAUGAAUAAUUUAAAUAUAAAUAAAAAAAAAAAAAAACCUUUAUAACAGACCAGAUUUUCUAUAGUUAGCACUUAGUGCGUCACAUGGCCAUGACCUUGUC